AUUGAACGCUGGCGGCAUGCUUUACACAUGCAAGUCGAACGGUAACAGGCCGCAAGGUGCUGACGAGUGGCGAACGGGUGAGUAAUGCAUCGGAACGUGCCCAGUCGUGGGGGAUAACUGCUCGAAGGAGCAGCUAAUACCGCAUACGAUCUAUGGAUGAAAGCGGGGGACCGUAAGGCCUCGCGCGAUUGGAGCGGCCGAUGUCAGAUUAGGUAGUUGGUGGGGUAAAGGCUCACCAAGCCAACGAUCUGUAGCUGGUCUGAGAGGACGACCAGCCACACUGGGACUGGGACACGGCCCAGACUCCUACGGGAGGCAGCAGUGGGGAAUUUUGGACAAUGGGGGCAACCCUGAUCCAGCAAUGCCGCGUGCAGGAAGAAGGCCUUCGGGUUGUAAACUGCUUUUGUACGGAACGAAACGGUCUGGGUUAAUACCCUGGGCUAAUGACGGUACCGUAAGAAUAAGCACCGGCUAACUACGUGCCAGCCGCCGCCGUAAGAC
rnacentral:rRNA from 1 species